CUGACCACACUCCCUGGGCCUUCUCCCAAGGGCCCGGGCGUCCUUGGCAUAUGCAGUCAUCGUGAUGGCACUUUAAGUGGAGGCUGAAUCAUCUCUCCUUUGAGCUGCACAGCACAUGGCUCCCUAGUGUUCCCAAUUUACCUCCGAGACACUGAGAUUUGGAGAG
rnacentral:lncRNA from 1 species